GAUGAACGCUAGCGAUAGGCUUAACACAUGCAAGUCGAGGGGCAGCAUGGUCUUAGCUUGCUAAGACUGAUGGCGACCGGCGCACGGGUGCGUAACGCGUAUGCAACUUGCCUCACAGAGGGGGAUAACCCGUCGAAAGACGGACUAAUACCGCGUACACUCCAUCUUGGGCAUCCAAGGUAGAGGAAAUGAAAUUCGCUGUGAGAUAGGCAUGCGUCCCAUUAGCUAGUUGGUGAGGUAACGGCUCACCAAGGCGACGGUGGGUAGGGGAACUGAGAGGUUGAACCCCCACACUGGUACUGAGACACGGACCAGACUACUACGGGAGGCAGCAGUGAGGAAUAUUGGUCAAUGGGCGAGAGCCUGAACCAGCCAAGUCGCGUGAAGGAUGACUGUCUUAUGGAUUGUAAACUUCUUUUAUACGGGAAUAACAAGAGUCACGUGUGACUCCCUGCAUGUACCGUAUGAAUAAGCAUCGGCUAACUCCGUG
rnacentral:rRNA from 1 species